UACGUAGGGACCAAGCGUUGUUCGGAUUUACUGGGCGUAAAGGGCGCGUAGGCGGCUUGACAAGUCACUUGUGAAAUCUCCGGGCUUAACUCGGAACGGCCAAGUGAAACUGUCAUGCUAGAGUGCAGAAGGGCAAUCGGAAUUCUUGGUGUAGCGGUGAAAUGCGUAGAUAUCGAGAGGAACACCUGCGGCGAAGGCGGGUUGCUGGGCUGACACUGACGCUGAUGCGCGAAAGCCAGGGGAGCGAACGGG
rnacentral:rRNA from 1 species